rnacentral:rRNA from 1 species
GAAAGGCGCUUUUGCGUCACUGAUGGAUGGACCCGCGGUGCAUUAGCUAGUUGGUGAGGUAACGGCUCACCAAGGCCACGAUGCAUAGCCGACCUGAGAGGGUGAUCGGCCACACUGGGACUGAGACACGGCCCAGACUCCUACGGGAGGCAGCAGUAGGGAAUCUUCGGCAAUGGACGAAAGUCUGACCGAGCAACGCCGCGUGAGUGAAGAAGGUUUUCGGAUCGUAAAACUCUGUUGUUAGAGAAGAACAAGGAUGAGAGUAAAAUGUUCAUCCCUUGACGGUAUCUAACCAGAAAGCCACGGCUAACUACGUGCCAGCAGCCGCGGUAAUACGUAGGUGGCAAGCGUUGUCCGGAUUUAUUGGGCGUAAAGCGAGCGCAGGCGGUUUCUUAAGUCUGAUGUGAAAGCCCCCGGCUCAACCGGGGAGGGUCAUUGGAAACUGGGAGACUUGAGUGCAGAAGAGGAGAGUGGAAUUCCAUGUGUAGCGGUGAAAUGCGUAGAUAUAUGGAGGAACACCAGUGGCGAAGGCGGCUCUCUGGUCUGUAACUGACGCUGAGGCUCGAAAGCGUGGGGAGCGAACAGGAUUAGAUACCCUGGUAGUCCACGCCGUAAACGAUGAGUGCUAAGUGUUGGAGGGUUUCCGC